UACCGGCGGCUCGAGUGGUGGCCGAUAUUAUUGAGUCUAAAGGGUCCGUAGCCGGCUUAGUUAGUCUUUUGGGAAAUCCAGCGGCUUAAUCGUUGGGCGUCCAUGAGAUACUGCUUUGCUUGGGACUGGGAGAGGUAGGAGGUACUCAAGGGGUAGGAGUGAAAUCCUGUAAUCCUUUGGGGACCACCGGUGGCGAAGGCGUCCUACCAGAACAGGUCCGACGGUGAGGGACGAAAGCUAGGGGCACGAA
rnacentral:rRNA from 1 species